rnacentral:rRNA from 1 species
CAACCUGCCUGUUACCACGGCACAGCCCGUCGAAAGGCGGAUUAAUGCCGUAUGUGGUCUUGAGAGGGCAUCUGAUCAUGACUAAAGGUUCANCGGUAACGGAUGGGGAUGCGUCCNAUUAGCUAGACGGCGGGGUAACGGCCCACCGUGGCUACGAUCGGUAGGGGUUCUGAGAGGAAGGUCCCCCACACUGGAACUGAGACACGGUCCAGACUCCUACGGGAGGCAGCAGUGAGGAAUAUUGGUCAAUGGGCGGAAGCCUGAACCAGCCAAGUAGCGUGAGGGAAGACUGCCCUAUGGGUUGUAAACCUCUUUUGUGCGGGGAUAAAGUGUGGGACGUGUCCCAUAUUGCAGGUACCGCACGAAUAAGGACCGGCUAAUUCCGUGCCAGCAGCCGCGGUAAUACGGAANGUCCGGGCGUUAUCCGGAUUUAUUGGGUUUAAAGGGAGCGCANGNCGNNNUUUAAGCGUGCUGUGAAAUGCCGCGGCUCAACCGUGGCACUGCAGCGCGAACUGGAGGACUUGAGUACGCACGAGGUGGGCGGAAUUCGUGGUGUAGCGGUGAAAUGCUUAGAUAUCACGAAGAACUCCGAUUG